CACCGCGGUUAUACGAGAGGCUCAAGCUGAUAGCCCAACGGCGUAAAGAGUGGUUAAGGGAGUAUUUUCAAUAAAGCCGAGAAUCAACAAAGCAGUUAUACGCACCCGAAAAAAAAAGACCGAUCACGAAAGUAGCUUUAACACCCCUGAGCCCACGAAAGCUAGGACA
rnacentral:rRNA from 1 species